CAUAAGAAAAUGGGGGUAAUUCUUCAGAUUCUACCGUUAAACCAUUGUUGUUUUUUUUUCAUGAAGUCCAUUGUAUAUGGGAAUGUCAGUACUAACUACUCCAUUUUCAUCUGAAUGCUCAAGAGUCGGCGGAACACUUGAAUUAAUAGAUGAUGAAUCGCUGGAUUCUUAAUUGAUUGGCAAAAUAUCUGCCACAGUAACUGGAGGAAAGGUGAAUUUUACUUUGCUGCACCAAUUGCUGCCAAAGACUCCUUGCGGACCGCUGACUAAUAAAGACGACCAGAGGGGCCUUCCCAUUAUCUUUCGGAAACCGGUAGAAGUAAUGACAAGUACAUGAAUGGAUCAAAUGUCACAGAGACCUUCCUACAAACAGGACAAACUACUAUCGACUUAUAUUGGCCUUGGCACACGUCCAUAAUGACUGAAUCGUUGCGAGCCAGAUGACAAUGCCAAUAUGUUGUUUUCACUUCGCUUUGCUUUGUUUUCUUCCACAGAGUGCCAAACAUCCAAAUG